ensembl:snRNA U6 U6 spliceosomal RNA
AAGCAAUAUAUAGUUCUCACUUCAGCAGAUUGCAAAGAUACAGGGAAGAUUAACAUGGCCCCUGUGCAAGGAUGACACUAAAAUUUGUGAAGCAUUCCAUAUUCUU